rnacentral:rRNA from 1 species
GACGAACGCUGGCGGCGUGCUUAACACAUGCAAGUCGAGCGGUAAGGCCUUUCGGGGUACACGAGCGGCGAACGGGUGAGUAACACGUGGGUGACCUGCCCUCAGCUCUGGGAUAAGCCUGGGAAACUGGGUCUAAUACCGGAUAUGACCUGCUGCUUCAUGGUGGUGGGUGGAAAGUUUUUCGGCUGGGGAUGGGCCCGCGGCCUAUCAGCUUGUUGGUGGGGUGAUGGCCUACCAAGGCGACGACGGGUAGCCGGCCUGAGAGGGCGACCGGCCACACUGGGACUGAGACACGGCCCAGACUCCUACGGGAGGCAGCAGUGGGGAAUAUUGCGCAAUGGGCGGAAGCCUGACGCAGCGACGCCGCGUGGGGGAUGACGGCCUUCGGGUUGUAAACCUCUUUCGACAGGGACGAAGCGUGAGUGACGGUACCUGUAGAAGAAGCACCGGCCAACUACGUGCCAGCAGCCGCCGCA